rnacentral:rRNA from 1 species
GACGAACGCUGGCGGCGUGCUUAACACAUGCAAGUCGAACGGAAAGGCCCUGCUUUUGUGGGGUGCUCGAGUGGCGAACGGGUGAGUAACACGUGAGUAACCUGCCCUUGACUUUGGGAUAACUUCAAGAAACUGGGGCUAAUACCGGAUAGGAGCUCCUGCUGCAUGGUGGGGGUUGGAAAGUUUCGGCGGUUGGGGCUGGACUCGCGGCUUAUCAGCUUGUUGGUGGGGUAGUGGCUUACCAAGGCUUUGACGGGUAGCCGGCCUGAGAGGGUGACCGGCCACAUUGGGACUGAGAUGCGGCCCAGACUCCUACGGGAGGCAGCAGUGGGGAAUAUUGCACAAUGGGCGGAAGCCUGAUGCAGCAACGCCGCGUGCUGGAUGACGGCCUUCGGGUUGUAAACCGCUUUCGCCUGUGACGAAGCGUGAGUGACGGUAAUGGGUAAAGAAGCACCGGCUAACUACGUG